UUGGUGAACCAGCGGAGGGAUCAUUGCUGGAACGCGCCCCAGGCGCACCCAGAAACCCUUUGUGAACUUAUACCUUACUGUUGCCUCGGCGCUGCUGGUCUCUAGUAGGCCCCUCACCCCGGUGAGGAGAAGGCACGCCGGCGGCCAAGUUAACUCUUGUUUUUACACUGAAACUCUGAGAAAAAAACACAAAUGAAUCAAAACUUUCAACAACGGAUCUCUUGGUUCUGGCAUCGAUGAAGAACGCAGCGAAAUGCGAUAAGUAAUGUGAAUUGCAGAAUUCAGUGAAUCAUCGAAUCUUUGAACGCACAUUGCGCCCUCUGGUAUUCCGGAGGGCAUGCCUGUUCGAGCGUCAUUUCAACCCUCAAGCAUUGCUUGGUGUUGGGGCACUGCUUUUUACCCAAGAGCAGGCCCUGAAAUCUAGUGGCGAGCUCGCCAGGACCCCGAGCGCAGUAGUUAAACCCUCGCUCUGGAAGGCCCUGGCGGUGCCCUGCCGUUAAACCCCCAACUUUUGAAAAUUUGACCUCGGAUCAGGUAGGAAUACCCGCUGAACUUAAG
rnacentral:rRNA from 1 species